CAGGUGGGAUUACCCGCUGAACUUAAGCAUAUCAAUAAGCGGAGGA
rnacentral:rRNA from 1 species